ACGGGGGAUGCGAGCGUUAUCCGGAUUCAUUGGGUUUAAAGGGUGCGUAGGCUGUGCGUCAAGUCAGGGGUGAAAUUCCGGGGCUCAACUCCGGGGCUGCCCUUGAUACUGUCGCGCUGGAGUGCGGAUGCCGCCGGAGGAAUGAGUGGUGUAGCGGUGAAAUGCUUAGAUAUCACUCAGAACACCGAUUGCGAAGGCAUCUGGCGAAUCCGUAACUGACGCUGAGGCACGAAAGCGUGGGGAUAGAACAG
rnacentral:rRNA from 1 species